UACGUAGGGUGCGAGCGUUGUCCGGAAUUAUUGGGCGUAAAGAGCUCGUAGGCGGCUUAGCAAGUCGGGUGUGAAAACUCCAGGCUCAACCUGGAGACGCCACCCGAUACUGCUGUGACUAGAGUCCGGUAGGGGAGCGUGGAAUUCCUGGUGUAGCGGUGAAAUGCGCAGAUAUCAGAAGGAACACCAGCGGCGAAGGCGGCGCUCUGGGCCGGAACUGACGCUGAGGAGCGAAAGCGUGGGGAGCAAACAGG
rnacentral:rRNA from 1 species